AUUGUGAGUUAUAGAAAUAGUGUUCUGUCAGAGAAGUUGGCAAAUUUCCCUUAGCAUGUAAAAUAUGUCAGAGGAGCAACAAAUUGCAGAAUUUGUUUGUUAUAUAGUCUUCUCUAGAUUAAACGCCACCCUCUCUCCUCCCUCCCCCCCCCUCAACAAACAUCAAAACCCCCAAAAAAAAAAAAAAAAAAAAAAAAACACACACUAGAAAAUUUAAUUUAAUUUACUUCCAUCCCAAUUGUUCAUUAUUUUUUUCAUUAUGGCCC
rnacentral:misc_RNA from 1 species